UACGGAGGGUGCAAACGUUGCUCGGAAUCAUUGGGCGUAAAGCGCACGUAGGCGGUCUGUUAAGUCGGAUGUGAAAGCCCUCGGCUCAACCGAGGAAGUGCAUACGAAACUGGCGGACUUGAAUAUGGAAGAGGGUCGCGGAAUUCCCGGUGUAGAGGUGAAAUUCGUAGAUAUCGGGAGGAACACCAGUGGCGAAGGCGGCGACCUGGGCCAAUAUUGACGCUGAGGUGCGAAAGCGUGGGGAGCAAACAGG
rnacentral:rRNA from 1 species